UACCAGCAACGGCUCACACUUAUGUUCAUUUUGACGAAAUUGCCCCCAUUGGACCUUAAUUUUUUGCUCAACAUAAUUCAAAUUCCGAUGGCCAUUUUCGUCCAGAAAACCCCUCGUGCAUAAACAAACAGGAGCUUUAGCGUGAAAGCGAAGUCAAUUGGCAUUCUUGGAAACCUCCGCGGAGUUUCAGUUUUUCUCCAAUUCUGGGUCCGCACAGUUCCUGCAGUUCAAGGGGGUUGUUUUAGAUUGUUUCUCUGCAAUUGGGUGGCGAGAAUGUUGGUGCAGAGGCGGGUGAUGAGCUGGAGGAGGGUGGCGACGUCCCUUCAGGCUCCGGCGGCUCAUGGUUUGCUUUUGACCUUUACGCUCUUGCUCGUUCUCAAGCUAGAUCACGCCGUGUCCUAUUCAUGGUGGAUCAUUUUUGCUCCUCUCUGGCUGUUUCAUGCAGUUGUGGCAAGAGGCAGAUUCUCCUUACCUGCCCCAUCAAUGCCUCAUGAUCGACAUUGGGCACCAUUUCAUGCCGUCACAGCGACGCCGUUGCUUGUUGCUUUUGAACUACUCCUUUGUAUAUAUCUCCAGCACAGUUAUGCUGUAAAUCUGAAGAUCGUUUUUCUGCCCUUGCUGGCAUUAGAAGCAGCUAUUUUAAUUGACAACAUCAGGAUGUGUAAGGCUUUAAUGCCUGGAGAUGAUGAAAGCAUUAGUGAUGAAGCAAUAUGGGAGACCCUUCCUCACUUUUGGGUUGCUAUCUCUAUGGUCUUCUUCAUCGCUGCAACUACAUUCACUCUUCUGAAGCUAUGUGGUGAUGUAGCAGCUCUAGGCUGGUGGGAUUUAUUUAUAAAUUUUGGGAUUGCAGAGUGUUUUGCUUCUAUUGUUUGCACAAGGUGGUACAAUCCAGCAAUUCAUAGGAACUCUCAUAUCAGACAAACUGGUUCAUCUUCAAUGAUUAUUAGAUAUCUUGACUGGAAUAGUGGCUUAGUAGUUUCUUCAGAUGAAGAUCAGCACCAAAGUCGACUAUGUGACCUGCAGGACAUUGGUGGACAUAUUAUGAAAAUUCCUCUUGUUGGCUUCCAGAUCCUGCUUUUUAUGCGCUUGGAGGGAACCCCAUCUAGUGCUAGGCAUAUUCCAAUUCCACUUCUCUUUGCUCCUCUAUUUUUGCUGCAAGGAAUUGGGGUCUUGUUUGCAUUAUAUAGAUUGGUGGAGAAAAUUGUUCUUUUACUACAUAGUGCAGCUGGUACAGAAAGAUACUUUGCAAUAUCUUCCAAAGUUCGCAGUUAUUUUGGUUUCUUGCACCAUGGGUCAAGGUUGCUUGGUUGGUGGUCAAUUGAUGAAGGAAGUCGAGAAGAACAGGCUCGACUUUAUUACGCUGGGGCAUCUGGGUUAGUAUUUCUAUACCAUCAUUUAGUGUCUUUCCAGAUGACAUCUUCUUUCAGUUCUACUUUAGGAGUGCAAAUUUGAUAGCCUGAUUAUUACUUUUUUGAGGUUCUUAAGGACCUAAGUUAGUUAGUGUUUAUUCUUUACCAUAAUGCCCUUUUACAAGUGGUAGACAGUAAUGCUUAUUAUAAAAUAACUUGUUUAACAAUAAGUUGGAGUUGGAUUGGGUAUCUUUUACACUUUUUUGUGGUGAAGGAAAUUUUAGCAAAUUUGUAUCCCCAAGUGGCAACAAUUGUAGUUCCACCAUCUUGAAAUAUUUUCAUUAGCAAUUAUGAUCCUUUAUUAAUGCCUCUGCAACAUACCCAUUUGUUAUUAUUAGAUAGUCAAAUAUCAAGAAGCAAUGGAAGUUUUAACCAUAAGACUAUAACUACUUGAAGGCAUUAUGUGUUUUUCUUCACUCUCUAAUAUGUAGUGCAAGCAGUAUUAUAAUGAUGAGGAUGAUUGUGCUUUUCUUCUCUUUCUUCUACUAUUAUUCUUCUGUCAUCUUUCAUUGCCUUUCCGAUUUUCAUUAGCUCUAACAAACACUGAGAGGUUGCUCUCCAUUAUAUUUUUCUGGUGAUUUUGCUUGUUCCAACUUUCUUUUUGUUUUCUUUGUUGUUCCUCCUUUGUUAAACAGCUGCUUAGGUUUUGACAGAAUGGGCAUUUUGGUUCUGGUACCGAUCGAUGUAAUGCUCGUGAUAGAUGAGUAAUGACAAAACAUCACAUUCUCUAAAACUUUUUCAUUUUCUUAAGGGGAAAAAAAAAAUACAAUGACUAGGUAUGUAUGGUCUUGUUAACCUAAAGAAUACUAAGAAUGAUGGGUGAAAUGAAUUCUCAAAAGAAAUUACAUUAAAAAAACAUUAAUUCUAUCAAUGAAUGAAAAAAAUAUGGUCUUCACCUAAGCCAUAUUGAAAAGAAUAGGGAAAGUUAUAGUUAACUUAAUUACCUAAGGAUAAAAUAUAAAAAUAGAUAAAAACCUAAUUGGAUAAGAAACCUAAAGCAAUAUAACAAUUAAAAUAAUAAGAAUUAUUAUUUUUUUUUAAAAAAAAAAUCUUCAUCCGUUAGAGCACCAUGAAUCCCUAGGUUGCAAAUAAUUGGCCUUCAAAUUUGAUUGGAUAAUAAAAUAAAAUGCUUCAUUAAUAUAUUGUAAGUCCUUUCCUCCACGGCAUGUGUUUUAAAAUUGUCUCAACUUUCCCAUCAAACAUGAGAUCGUGUUGUAUUUGAUGAAGAACUGUAUAUUUUCCAUGCUUUGUUGUAAUAUUCAUUCAAUUAGUCCAGCAUGACAUAACAAAAUAAUCUAUUAUUAAUUUUCUAAUGACUUAUAAAGGGAGUGAAUUGGAGCAAGUUGAGCCAAAAAUGAUCAUCAUAUUGGUGACCAAUAGAGUAGUCAGAGUAUAAUAUGUUUUUCCUUAGUAGAAAAUCACUUGGUGCAAAUUUUCUUCCAUGGUGAAGGACUAUUCAUAAAAAAAUAUGCGGCUUACUCAUAUCAAUCAAACAUUGUACAAUGAUUGGCUCAGAUGUGAUCAGUCAUCAUCAUCGAUUUAUGGUGGAGAAUCCUAAUCUAUGAAACUAUUAGAAUUAUAGUUGCCUUUUGAAAUCUUCAUAGCCUCUGUUGGAGAAUUGGUGCAGAAAUUGUCAGAUUAUAUAGCCUGUAUGGGCUGGGAUUUAAUUUGAAUUUGUUUCUUUUUUUGUACAAUUGGCUUGAUUUAUUUCCUGUAAGUAGGGAUUAAGUUAGUAGCUGAUUUAGUUUCUGUAAUUAGUGGUUGAUUUAGUGGAGUAAUUCCAGGCCUAGAAUAGUAAUUUCCUUUUCUUUUUUCGAUUGUAAACGUUAUAAAUAGGCUAUAAAUAUAUUCAAAGAAUAAACAAGUAUUAUUCAGAAAUCAUUCUCUGUACUCGUGGUAUCAGAGUCUUAAUCUUAAUAAUUUUUUCCCCUUCCAUCUAUCGACUUCAAUUGUCAACAUGAGUCCAAAUUUUUUCCAGCUUUAAUUGUAGGAAUUGUUCACAUAUCCUUUUGACCUUCAUUGUCAGACUUGAUACAAGGGGUUGGUUCAAAACCCAUUUUUCAGUAUCUAUUUUUUCCUGGCAUGUGUCCUCACUAUUAUAGAUUACACUAAUAUCAUCUUAUCUCCAAUCAGCCCAAGAUGACAGAAAAAUCUGAUGCCUCUUCCACUACUACACAAAUAACCAUAAACACUCAAAAACCCAAUUCAAGUAUUUUAUUGGAAGGCAAUUUGGUAACUUGGAGGAGUAAGAAAGAGUCCGUGGUUGCCAAGUCAAGUGUCGAAGUAGAAUUUUGAACCUUGGCUCAUGGACUAUGUGUGCUUCUCUGGAUAAAAAUUAUUCAUAGUGAUCUUAGAGUAAGUUGGAAAGGUCAUAUAAAGCUUUACUGUGUUGGCUAUUAGUAUAGCUCACAAUAUAGUUCACUAUGAUUAAACUCAGUAUGUUAAAAUUGAUCAUCAUUUCAUCAAGGAGAAAUUGGGUACUGGGUUGGUAUGCACCCCCGAUAUAUCCCUUAGAAAGACAGUUGACCAACAUAUUGACCAAGGGACUUGCAGUUCAACCAUUUCAAUCUAUUGCAAGAAGUUGGCAAUGAAGAACGUUUACUCACCAGCUUGAGGGAAGAGAAUUGGUGCCAUAAUUUCCAGAUUAUACAACCUAUAUAAACUGAGAUUUAAUUUGAAUUUCUUUUCUCUUUUUUUUUUUUUUUCUGUAUAGUUGACUUGAUUUGUUUCCUGUACUUAGGGCUUGACUUAGUAGCUGAUUUAUUUUUUUAUAAUUAGUGGUUGAUUUAGUGGAAUAAUUCUAGGCCUAGAAUAGAGUAAUUUCCUUUUCUUUUUUCGUCUGUAAACAUUAUAAAUAUGCUGUAAAUAUAUUCAAAGAAUAUACAAGUAUUAUUUAGAAAUCAUUCUCUGUUUUCAGCCUCCAAUAACUCAUGACCUUCAAGGUUUGAUCUUUCAUACCACUUGACGCAGCAUAUAUUUUGGUUCUAAUAUCACUUUUGCAUUCACAUUAGAUGGCUGUUGAUUACAAAAGGCAACAUGUUCUAGAAGACUAAUUUUCUUCAGAUUGAGUAACAGUUGAAUAACAAAAAAAAAAAAAAAAGAAAAAAGAAGAAGAAGACGAAGUAACAUCUUGUAGAUCUUGUUGAUUUCCUUAAAGAAAGUACCAGGAACCAGAUAUCUUUAGUCUUGUUCAUGACGAAGAAAAAUAGGUAAAAAGAUUCUCAAAGAAAAAAAUCUAAGAAGACUAAUUUUAUUGAAGAAUAAAAAGUAAUAGUCUCCCCCAAAAUCAUAACUGAGAAAAUGUGUUCAUAGACCUAAUAACCCUACAAAGAAUAGGAAAAGAAUUGUAGUCUUCAGUAGCUUAAUUACCUAAAAACAAUUAAGAAAUCUUAGUGACUAGCAAACUUAAAGCUGUAAAGCACCUAAUAAAUAAAUCUAAAAUAAUAAGAACUGUUUUUCUGAAAAAAAAAUAAAAAAUUAUGAGCCAGGUCUGCAUCAGGUUUUGAUGAACUAAGAGAUGAAGAGUCUCUCCAAGCAUAACUGAAAACAGUUUCUGGAACUGUAUGGAAAUGACAGGUACAACACUUUCUCACCUGAUACUGUGAAGAAAUUGCCUAAAUCAGACCUUGCUGAGGAGAUUUGGAGAUUACAAGCAGCACUAGGUGAGCAAACAGAAAUCACAAAAUUUAGCCAGCAGGAGUUUGAAAGGCUUCAAAAUGUAAUGUUCACAACCUUGACUGAUUGGCUUCUAUCAGUGAAUAAGAGAUUUCAUUAACUUCCAAAG